AAGUCGUAACAAGGUUUCCGUAGGUGAACCUGCGGAAGGAUCAUUAAAAGAUUUUUGGUAUAAUUUUUUGGGGUCAAUUGAUCUCAAAAAAUAAUUCACCUUUUGUGCAUUGUUAUUAAGAUAUACUUUGGUUAGAGCUUUGACAUUAAGUCAACUUCUUGCUAACUCUAUCCUUAUUGUAAGGACAGUUGGCUAUGAAGCGUGCCUACCAAGGUUUUUUAUCAAACUCUUUGUAUUUUUUCUGACCUAAAUAAAUAAUAAUUAAAUCAUAACUUUCAACAACGGAUCUCUUGGCUCUC
rnacentral:misc_RNA from 1 species